AACGCUAGCUACAGGCUUAACACAUGCAAGUCGAGGGGCAGCAUGUCGGUUGCUUGCAACCGAUGAUGGCGACCGGCGCACGGGUGAGUAACGCGUAUCCAACCUACCCUUGUCCAUCGGAUAACCCGUCGAAAGGCGGCCUAACACGAUAUGCGGUUCACAGCAGGCAUCUAACGUGAACGAAAUGUAAAGGAGAAGGAUGGGGAUGCGUCUGAUUAGCUUGUUGGCGGGGUAACGGCCCACCAAGGCGACGAUCAGUAGGGGUUCUGAGAGGAAGGUCCCCCACAUUGGAACUGAGACACGGUCCAAACUCCUACGGGAGGCAGCAGUGAGGAAUAUUGGUCAAUGGACGGGAGUCUGAACCAGCCAAGUAGCGUGCAGGACGACGGCCCUAUGGGUUGUAAACUGCUUUUAUAGGGGGAUAAAGUGUGUCACGUGUGGCAUAUUGCAGGUACCCUAUGAAUAAGGACCGGCUAAUUCCGUGCCAGCAGCCGCGGUAAUACGGAAGGUCCGGGCGUUAUCCGGAUUUAUUGGGUUUAAAGGGAGCGUAGGCCGUCUUAUAAGCGUGUUGUGAAAUGUCGGGGCUCAACCUGGGCAUUGCAGCGCGAACUGUGAGACUUGAGUGCGCAGGAAGUAGGCGGAAUUCGUCGUGUAGCGGUGAAAUGCUUAGAUAUGACGAAGAACUCCGAUUG
rnacentral:rRNA from 1 species